UACGGAGGAGGCAAGCGUUAUCCGGAAUUAUUGGGCGUAAAGAGUCCGUAGGUGGGUAACCAAGUCAGUUGUUAAAUAGUGAAGCUUAACUUCAUAGAGGCGACUGAAACUGGUUGUCUAGAGCGUGGUAGGGGUAGAGGGAAUUUCCAGUGUAGCGGUGAAAUGCGUAGAUAUUGGAAAGAACACCGGUGGCGAAAGCGCUCUACUGGGCCUGCACUGACACUGAGGGACGAAAGCUAGGGGAGCGAAAGGG
rnacentral:rRNA from 1 species